rnacentral:misc_RNA from 1 species
CAUAUGGAAUGCUGCAAGGUUCACCUUAUCUAUUUCUGAUGUCUUCUGAUUAAGAAAAAAUUGCUCACAACGAUGGAGCCAGAUGAGCGGAUCAUCUAAACCAUCAUAAGUUGGAAAGUCCAACUUGGCAUACCUCGACACCAUGCCUCUAAUCUGUCGUGGCUCCGUUCUUUCUUCCAGCCUUGUAGCAGUAUUCAAAUGUGAGGAACUGCUACUGAUUCCAGUUUCCAUUCCCUUUCCAUUGGUUCCGCCCAUGACUGACAUGAAUUCUUUUAGUUGCUGAGUUAAAUCUUGAACCUACGCCUGUACUUGGGCAACUCUUGCUGCAUUCUGUUCUGACAUCUCGCGGAUAAGGGCUCGCAGUUCAUUGGAAUCCCCUAUGUUUGGCUCUGAUACCAAUUUGUUAUAUUCACCAGUCAAGGAUCGAGUUGCGGGCGAUGAACUAUGAAGUCUUCUUCAGAACCUGCAACCUUUCCCUUUUUGCG